AGUGUCGCUGAACUGUUAGCCAGAAGCCUUGGAAGUGGAAGCACACGAUUAUGGCAAGAGGCGUUACAUUUCCAACACACGCUUGAGGUUUUUGGCCAAUCACAACACAAUGGGUCAGCUGACCAAUCAAAGCGCUCUGGACUGUUCGGAAGGAGGGGCUUUGGAGAAACCGGAACUCAAUCAGAGCGUUUCAGACACACUGGGAAUAGAGGUACUGCAAUAACAUACAGUCUCCCCAUCAAACAGCAGCUACAAAGGUGAAGGCAAAAAAUGUGAAAGCAGCUAAUCGCAUUUCUUCAAACUGUUGCUCAUGCUGCAUGACUGGGAGGCAUAACACACUUAAAGGAAAACGCUAUCUGCCCCUUCAGCAUACAUGGCCUCAGAGAUCUCCACUAUUGGCGAGUGUCGCUGGUGAGAGAGAGCACAGCCAAUUUUUGCUCUCUGGACUCCCGGCCAUGGAUGGCAUUGGCACAGAUUUAAACUUGCGAUCUCCGGAACAUAGGGGUCAAAGGGAACCUGGAGCCUAUCCCAAGGAGCAUUGGGCACAAGAUGGGGUACACCCUGGACAGGGUGCCAGUCCAUUGCAGGGCACAAUCACAUACACACUCACACACCCAUUCAUACACACCAAUCAGCCUACCAUGCAUGUCUUUGGACUGGGGGAGGAAACCAGAGUACCCAGAGGAAACCCCUGCAACACGGGGAGAACAUGCAAACUCCACACACACAGGGCCACAGUGGGACUCGAACCCUGGACCCUGGAGCUGUGAGGUGAACAUGCUAACCACUACGCCACCGUGAGCCCAAUUUA